GAUGAACGCUAGCUACAGGCUUAACACAUGCAAGUCGAGGGCAGCAUGAACUUAGCUUGCUAAGUUUGAUGGCGACCGGCGCACGGGUGAGUAACACGUAUCCAACCUGCCGAUGACUCGGGGAUAGCCUUUCGAAAGAAAGAUUAAUACCCGAUGGCAUAGUUCUUCCGCAUGGUAGAACUAUUAAAGGAUUUCGGUCAUCGAUGGGGAUGCGUUCCAUUAGGUUGUUGGCGGGGUAACGGCCCACCAAGCCUUCGAUGGAUGGGGGUUCUGAGAGGAAGGUCCCCCCACAUUGGAACUGAGACACGGUCCAAACUCCUACGGGAGGCAGCAGUGAGGAAUAUUGGUCAAUGGGCGAGAGCCUGAACCAGCCAAGUAGCGUGAAGGAUGAAGGUCCUACGGAUUGUAAAACUUCUUUUAUACGGGAAUAAAGUAUCCUACGUGUCCUUUUUUUGUAUGUACCCUAUGAAUAAGCAUCGGCUAACUCCGUG
rnacentral:rRNA from 1 species